rnacentral:rRNA from 1 species
UACAGAGGGGGCAAGCGUUGUUCGGAAUUACUGGGCGUAAAGGGCGCGUAGGCGGCCUGCUAAGUCGAACGUGAAAUCCCUGGGCUCAACCCAGGAACUGCGUCCGAUACUGGUUGGCUUGAAUCCGGGAGAGGGAUGUGGAAUUCCAGGUGUAGCGGUGAAAUGCGUAGAUAUCUGGAGGAACACCGGUGGCGAAGGCGGCAUCCUGGACCAAUUCUGACGCUGAGGCACGAAAGCGUGGGGAGCAAACAGG